rnacentral:lncRNA from 1 species
GAUUUUCAUUCAUAAAAUUGCUUUAUAUUAUUUGUUUCACUUUUGCUAUGUUUCUCAUUGGGAUGCAAUUCAGAUUGUAAGUUCUCUUGAAUAUGACGAUUCCUCCUAGUUUUAGGUUAUCUCAUACCUUUUGGGUCACAGUAUCAUGCAUUUUGGACACUCAGACGUAUUGUUUUCUGUUUUGUUUGAUCUGUGUUAAGACUCUUUCAAGGCACGGUGUGAAAAAAGGCACGAACACUGGUGACACAAAGUCCUGAUUUCAAAUCCUGUUCUGUCACUUGUUAGCGCAUGACCUUGGCAAGUUAAUUUAAGUCACAGAAUAAUAAUUUACUCUCUGGUAAAAGAAUAUUAAUAAUUUCCACUCAACAGUAAGUGGAUUGGAUAGACAGGACAUAUGACACAUAUAGGCAUAGCGCCUGGCACAUAUAUGGGAGAUUAGUGAUAAUUUCCCCAAUCACCUUUUUUUUUUUUUUUUUUUUUC